rnacentral:lncRNA from 1 species
UUUAUUUUAGCAUUUGGUUUGGUUUUUUUUAAAGUGGAUCAAUUUGAAUACCAAUUUGGUUAUAUAUAACCGAUUUUUUUGCACACCCCUAAUAAUCAGCCACAUCAUCAUUAUCACCCGCUAGAUCAUCUUCAUGAACUUGAUCUUUAAUAUAUGGCUUGAGAUGAAAGUUUAAGCUUACCAUCAAUUGUUUUACCAUAAGUUCACCCCUUUCC